rnacentral:rRNA from 1 species
UGUACGGAAUCCUUUAGAGAUAGAGGAGUGCUCGAAAGAGAGCCGUAACACAGGUGCUGCAUGGCUGUCGUCAGCUCGUGUCGUGAGAUGUUGGGUUAAGUCCCGCAACGAGCGCAACCCUUGCCAUUAGUUGCUACGAAAGGGCACUCUAAUGGGACUGCCGGUGACAAACCGGAGGAAGGUGGGGAUGACGUCAAGUCCUCAUGGCCCUUAUAGGUGGGGCUACACACGUCAUACAAUGGCUGGUACAGAGGGUUGCCAACCCGCGAGGGGGAGCUAAUCCCAUAAAGCCAGUCGUAGUCCGGAUCGCAGUCUGCAACUCGACUGCGUGAAGUCGGAAUCGCUAGUAAUCGCGGAUCAGAAUGUCGCGGUGAAUACGUUCCCGGGCCUU